rnacentral:rRNA from 1 species
AGAGUUUGAUCCUGGCUCAGGAUGAACGCUGGCGGCGUGCUUAACACAUGCAAGUCGAACGAGGUCCAUGGAGCUUGCUCCGGAAGAUCUAGUGGCGAACGGGUGCAUAACACGUGAGAAACCUGCCUCAGUCUCUGGGAUAACAGUUGGAAACGACUGCUAAUACCGGAUGCCGUCACACCAUCACAUGGUGGAGUGACGAAAGAUUCAUCGGAUUGAGAGGGUCUCGCGGCCUAUCAGCUAGUUGGAGAGGUAACGGCUCACCAAGGCAUCGACGGGUAGCUGGUCUGAGAGGAUGAUCAGCCACACUGGGACUGAGACACGGCCCAGACUCCUACGGGAGGCAGCAGUGGGGAAUCUUGCACAAUGGGCGAAAGCCUGAUGCAGCAACGCCGCGUGCGGGAAGAAGGCCCUAGGGUUGUAAACCGCUUUCAGUAGGGAAGAAAAUGACGGUACCUACAGAAGAAGGUGCGGCCAACUACGUGCCAGCAGCCGCGGUG